CCUGAGAGGCGCUGCGACGUGUCCGCUGCUCCCGGCGCUUUCGCUGCUCGAGCUCCAGACCCGCACCCUACCCCCUUCCUGGCGUCAGUCUCUCCUUCUCCCUAACUUCUCAUUGGAAAACGAAGCGACUCUAAGGGAUCGUAUUGAACCUACAGCCCGACGACAUCGCGACCAGUAACCGCCCCCAAACUCCAAACACACCGCAUCCCCCACGCUGGGCCCUCCGUCCCCGCCGCGACAGGUUUCCUCACUCACCCUCUGGAUCGUCUUCCUGACUAUUUACCCAACAAGUAUUGAUGGAGUGCCUGCAGUAUAUACCGGGCUCUGCGCUGGGAAAACCCGAAGAACCGGACAGCUUAGGUGCCACUCAUCAUGGAGCGUCCGCGGGACUUUCUGUUCGUGCGUAACUGCUUUGCAGAACGCUGGUGGUACGAACACACACUUUUGGUCUCUACCCUCGAGCAGAGGGCAGGUAAUGGAGGGCUUAGAAGACAGUAUGAUGGCAAUGAGACAGUAUAUUGAAAACGAUGCAUUCCAUCUCCAUCCAAGCCUCAAUCCUCCCACUGUGCUCUUGAGCUUGGGCUUGAGGUUAGGCGUCCUAGAUGUGCAUCCCGUUCCUUUGACAAUGGAAAUUAUGAUGGCACUCUUCUUACGGGGUUGAGUUGUCAUGACAACCCUUGGCACAAUGCCUGGCACAGGGUUAGCACUCAGUAUAUACAAGCUAUAAUGAUGCUGAUGAUGUUCCGCUGGCCUGAUGGAAUGUUGUGGACAAGGGGAGAUGUGCUGUAGGCUACACCGUUUGAGAGAUUUUCUAUGGGCUUAAAUUAAUUUGUGUAUAUUUAUAUUCUUCUGUUGCGUCAGGUUGUGAAUAUCAGAUGCUUGGUCUUUAUUCUUCUCUACUAACUUCUUAACUUCCUGGACCAAUGUUAUUACUACUGCCGUUGUUAAGGGAAAAUGAAAAAGUAUUGGCGGAAGACAGCAAGAACCCACAGGAGCCCAGUGUCCCUUCAGGCAGCCUUAGAAGCAUUUUCGUCCACCCAUGUGCCAUUAAAGCGAAAGGGAAUAUUUUCACAGUGACACACAAUGCUUGCUGUAAUUUAACCUCGUGAGCAAAACUUCCAAUUAAGUAUGACAGUAGGAAAUAGGUGUCCUGAUUAGCCAUGUACCUCCCUGGAACGAGGUAUUGUAUAAACAGUUGCAGGACAUGUUGUUAAAAAAAUUUUUUUUUACCUUUAUUUAUUUUUGAGAGACAGAGAGAGACAGUGUGAACAGGGGAGGGGCAGAGAGAGAGGGAGACACAGAAUCUGAAGCAGGUUCCAGGCUCUGAGCUGUCAUCACAGAGCCCAUGCGGGGCUUGAACCCAUGAACCGUGAGAUCAUGACCUGAGCCAAGUCGGACACUUAACCGACUAAGGCAC
ensembl:lncRNA